GACGAACGCUGGCGGCAUGCUUAACACAUGCAAGUGGAGCGACGAACCUUUUUGGGGCAAAGCCGCGAACGGGUGAGUAACACGUGGGUAAUCUACCCCGAAGACUGGAAUAACCCGGGGAAACUCGGGCUAAUACCGGACGUGCUCUAUCUCCAUAGGGAGAGUGAGUAAAGGUAGCUUCGGCUAUCCGCUCUGGGAGGGGGCCGCGGUCCAUUAGCUUGUUGGUGAGGUAACGGCUUACCAAGGCUUCGGUGGAUAGCUGGUCUGAGAGGACGAUCAGCCACACUGGAACUGAGACACGGUCCAGACUCCUACGGGAGGCAGCAGUGGGGAAUCUUGCACAAUGGGCGACAGCCUGAUGCAGCAAUGCCGCGUGAGGGAAGACGGCCUUCGGGUUGUAAACCUCUUUCAGUUGGGAUGAAGGUUGGGCGGUGAAUAGCCGUUCCAACUGACCGUACCUUCAGAAGAAGCCCCGGCUAACUACGUGCCAGCAGCCGCGGUAACAC
rnacentral:rRNA from 1 species